UCAUACCUAUUGGCAUUCAUCAGGCCUAGUCUUACAGUCUGUCAGAUGAGGCCUGAUGAAUGCCAAUAGGCAUGAA
rnacentral:pre_miRNA from 1 species